GCGGGAAUAGCUCAGCGGUAGAGCGCCAGCCUUCCAAGCUGGAUGUCGCGGGUUCGAAUCCCGUUUCCCGCUCCA
rnacentral:tRNA from 6 species